CGAAGAAAUGAUAAAAUUUUUUUUCCGUAAAAAUUGUAAACCUAGCCACGCUAGGCUGCGAUGCCGCCUCGUCGAUGGUCGCGACGAAACUGAAGCUAAAGCCAGAGGCCAGAGUGCCAGAGGAAUAGAACUUCCAGAUACAGAGUGGAGUUAAUUCCAAGCAGAGUUUCACUCAGACUCGUGAGUAUCUGAUCUCUGAGAAUGGACUAAAGAAGAGAGAAUAUAAUAGCCUAUGUAGAAUCGUGUAGAAGAAGAGGAUGCUGUUUAAAACCCAAGUAUUCUCUCCUUGGCGGUGAGUAAAUUUUCGCUGAGCAAAAAAACCAACCCUUUAUAUAUAUAUAUAUAUAUAUAAAGGCAUAGAUAGAUCGUGGAUAUAUAAAAGAGACUUUUUGCACUUCAUCACCUGCAAAGGUUCUUUUAUUAUACAACUAAACGGAAGGAGGAUAAUCGAACGUUCAAGCAUUUAACACCUUGAAAAAGUCUAAGUUUUUUAUUAUAAAUACUAGCUGUUACUCGCUCGGCGUUUUAUAGAAUUGCAUUUUUUAAUUUAGACUUGAAAUUUAACUAGAGUAUUGUUUUGACUUGCACAUGUGCAAACUAUUAUUUGCUUAAAAACAAAUUUUGUCAAA